AAAUGGUACUUUACUCUAGCUGCGUAAGACUUUGGACACAGCAUGAGUGGGACACAGCAUGAGCUCCCUCUCUGGAGCAGUGCCAUUGCUUACUCUCCAGUCUCCAGGCAGUUUCCUAUGUUAGCUUCAGAGCCUAUGAAGUUUAAGGGGCUCUCUCGUGGCUGGUAUUGCAGUUCACAGUGGGAAUUUCAACCACUGAGGAGUACUUCACUUAUCCUUUUCCCACACUGGGGAGUCUCUCCAAGCUCAUAGCUGAUCCCCGCCAAGCAGGCUGCUUCACUUCCCUCUCCUUUUUCGCUUUAGGUGUUUCCUGUCACAUCCCUAUUGAAUUCCAGUGUUAUCCAAUGAUCUAUUGAAAAUGUGAUUACCUACUCGCUAAUUAGUCUCCUUUUUACAGAAGAGCACGUGGAAAGCAAGACCCCUGAGGGCGCAGGUUUUAGUCAACUUUCAUUCAGUGCCGCUUCUACAGAGUUGAACACUUUCCGGUACAUUAAAUGCUCUCGAUACCUUUCUCUGAGUAAAAUUGAGCUAAGGGCUUUGGAGAUUUCACCCUGGAUUUUCAAAGGACCUCCAGUGGACUUGUGUUUUGAGAAUCUGCAACUAAAUCAUUUAUGACUAAUUCCCAAUCAAACUGUUCUCCAAAGAAAAUCAAGUGAAGUUGGUUCAGAAAGAACACUUUGAAAAGCCUGUGUUUUGACGUCUACUCAGAAGUAUUGGAAUCAAUGAAGAGUGGGACACUGAAUCUGGAUCCUCUCUAAGGAAUCGUUUUCCAGAAUACAUCAAAUGUUACCUGCUUUGUAAACCUCUCCAAUUCUCUCAAUUCCCUCUGUCAUCAUUUAAGCACUGACCAUCAGACCUUCCUGUACCUAGACAGCAGCUUUCUAUUGGAUUCUCUGCCUCAGGCACUGCUCUCCUCCAUUCAAACCUUCACAAUCAUUAUCUCUAACGUGAAGACCAUGCAGUCUCAGGAACCCAAGAUGAUUCAUGACACUUCCAAAAAAAACAGAAUUUUUUAUGUAUAAUUAUUCUUAUCUGAAAAAAAAGAAAUAAAGCCUUACUACUAUUUAACAUCUGGAAUUAAUAUAGGUAAUUGUAAUCAAUCCCCAAGUCACUUAUUUGAAUUUUACAUAAGUUACUAAAGAUAUCCUGAGGCAAGACUGGGAAUUCAACAACAGGCAGUUAACAACGCCAGCCACACUUGUCCAUUUCAUUUAGCAUGCUGCAUUUUACCACAAUUGACCUAUGCCUGGUUAAAUGGACUUGCAAUUUAUGUCACUAAAUUUUAGUCUUCAAAAAAUUGAAAAUUAGAUUUUAAAAUAUCCCUACAAUAAAAGUUUGAAUUGACAUCAUUACUAUACUAUAAGUGAACAGUAGGAAAAUAUUAGAACCAAAAAUUCUAAAUCUGGCUUUUUCUUUGCUGUGUUACCAGAUAAUCACAACAAUGGUCUAAUCACAUUUGACAAGAAAUCAUCAAAAAUUUUGAAAUUAUGUUAUUAUUAUUAACAAUGAACCUUAGCGUAAAUGCAUGCAGUGUCUUGAGAUAUUGGCCAACAAAAUGCAGCUAUAUAGAUUAUAAAUAAAUAAAUAUAUUAAAACUAAUUGGAGUUAGGUACUUAAAAUUUCUUCCUGACAAAAAUGAAUUAUCGACAUGUUUCAUCAUUCAUUCCACUGUUUGGUCUACGCUGCAAUGAGAGUGACCUUGUAAAACACAAACGGAUCAUUUCGUGUUAAACUCUUCAGUGGUUUUCUGAUAUCUUUAAGACAGUUUUACAAGUUUUUCUAUUCCAGCACCUCAUCUUGGGUUGCCCUCCAGACAUACUGGACUUCAGCUCUGUGAGACUUCCUGGGCUCUCUCUACUCUGGGUUUCCACACACUGUCUCUUCUCUGCCUGUAACAUUCUUUCAGUAACUCCUUUCCCUCUUUGCCUGGCUGCUUUCCUCUCAAUGGAUCCCUUCAGAUUAUUACAUUUAAAAAUUACUUUGGUGGACCUUUCCAACACAUUUAGACCAAGUUCGCCACCACCACCUCCCCGCAUCUGUCUUUUUAGAAUAUUCUGUGCUUUCAGUCUUAAAAAAAAAUCACACUUUACUAUAAUUUACUAGUUCAAUGUUUUAUGUUCCCCAGUAGUCAGUAUAAACUGAGGUCAUGAGCUAGGACUCUUGCUCAUUCCUGUAUUGCCGCCACUGUCUAGCAUACUGCCUAAUUUUUUUGUUUAAUUUUUAAAAGAAGAAGACAGUUUUAGAAUGGCAUUUAGGAAAAUACAGGCAAAAGCAAAUAUCAUAUGUCUUCAAUUAUCUCCCUAAAAACUUAGGUCAUGAGGAAGUGGAACAGAAGUGCCUAUGGUUUAAAUGGGGCCAAUAAUCUGGGGUACUCAGUAGAGUAACUCAUAAGAGUAAGUCAGUAGUUCACUUAUGGCUGGCAGAAAGUAUAUAAAGGUCUAAUGCUUUGGGGAAACUUUGAGAAUUUUAGGUUGUGCACAAUUAUUUUUUUCUUUAAAUGGCUCUUAUAAAACAAAUUGCAAGACAAACACAAUCACACUGAAUUCCCAAUAGAAAAUGAAAGUGCUUCGGCAAAGGUAAUAGGUUGUUGUCAUUUUGCCAAUAAAUAUAUUGACAUUCUGACUUUCAUUCGACCUUUCAAACAUGCUAUAUAAAAAGCUACAUGUUUGAGGAUGAGCCAAAUGCUUUUAAAAGAAGGAAAUAGUGCCAACAAUAAAGUCUCUGUGACUGAGCACUUGCAGAAGGAAUUAAAGGGAGACAAGCAAGGACAUUCCCUUAAGCAAGGCACCUAAAGAAGUUUCUCUGUUUCCACAACCAACCAUGAUGCUUAAAAAAUUCAACUAAAAUGUUUUAAUCCUUGUAGUAAGGUUUGUACUGGUGUAUUAUCAUUAAGAAAUAAGAAAUACUGAAAAAAAGAAAACAGAUAUUGUUGACUAUUACCUUUCCUUCAUAGUAAAAUAAUCUACUCAACAGAACGGGUGUUAGUAAAGAGAAAACACAAAUUGUAUAGUGAAGAAGCUUUAAAAAAAUUAGGCUACCUUGUCCAGACAUUUUCUUUCACUUACACCUAUUAAUCACUGUCUACAGGUACUGAUGACUUUUUUAAAAAUCAUUUUUAAUUUAUUUGUUAUUUAUAUACAAUAGUUGUACACAUUUUGGGGGUACAUGUAAUAUUUUGAUACCUGUAUAUAAGUAUAAUGAUUAAUUCAGAGUAAUUGGGAUAUCUGUAAUUAAAUAUGUUACAUUCAUCAUCUGGGUAUUUCUUAUUGACAGUGUUUGCAUUUGACAUUCAUUUUGUGUGAAUUAUUACCUAGGCAUGUGAUGUAGUAAAAUUCUACUUAUAUAGAUAUUUUAAUGUAACAGCUAUAAUGGCAGAUAUAUUAAAAAAAUGAUUUAUAUAGUAAUCAUGUAAAUGUUCAAUCAUGAAUAUAACGAGUCAUGAUUUCUUUGCAAUUUUGUUUUAUAAUAUGCCUUUAUUAACUUUGAUGUAUUUGAGGCAUAGAUCCUAAAAGGUUGCUGUGACAAAUUAAGUUUAUGCUAAAGAUUUAGUACUUAGUCUUUGUUUUUUCUCUUUUCUUCUUUUUUUUAACAAAAUUGCUGCUUGGAAUAAUGUGUUUUAUUUUGAGAAUGACGCUGUUUAAUUUUGUACCCUAAGAAAUGUUUGAGUAAAUUAACUGUUCUGUUCAUGAAUUAUCUGUGGCCUCUACCAUCACUUCUCAUAAAAGAAUGUCAAAUAGAAAUCAAGCUAUGUAACCCCACUGGUGAUCACUGUGAU
rnacentral:lncRNA from 10 species